GGUUCCAUGGUGUAAUGGUUAGUGCUCUGGGCUUAGAGUCUAGUGAGCUGAGUUCAAAUCAAAGUGGAACCC